rnacentral:rRNA from 1 species
CAGUCGACGCUUCUUUUUCCACCGGAGCUUGCUCCACCGGAAAAAGAAGAGUGGCGAACGGGUGAGUAACACGUGGGUAGCCUGCCCAUCAGAAGGGGAUAACACUUGGAAACAGGUGCUAAUACCGUAUAACAAUCAAAACCGCAUGGUUUUGAUUUGAAAGGCGCUUUCGGGUGUCGCUGAUGGAUGGACCCGCGGUGCAUUAGCUAGUUGGUGAGGUAACGGCUCACCAAGGCCACGAUGCAUAGCCGACCUGAGAGGGUGAUCGGCCACAUUGGGACUGAGACACGGCCCAAACUCCUACGGGAGGCAGCAGUAGGGAAUCUUCGGCAAUGGACGAAAGUCUGACCGAGCAACGCCGCGUGAGUGAAGAAGGUUUUCGGAUCGUAAAACUCUGUUGUUAGAGAAGAACAAGGAUGAGAGUAACUGUUCAUCCCUUGACGGUAUCUAACCAGAAAGCCACGGCUAACUACGUGCCAGCAGCCGCGGUAAUACGUAGGUGGCAAGCGUUGUCCGGAUUUAUUGGGCGUAAAGCGAGCGCAGGCGGUUUCUUAAGUCUGAUGUGAAAGCCCCCGGCUCAACCGGGGAGGGUCAUUGGAAACUGGGAGACUUGAGUGCAGAAGAGGAGAGUGGAAUUCCAUGUGUAGCGGUGAAAUGCGUAGAUAUAUGGAGGAACACCAGUGGCGAAGGCGGCUCUCUGGUCUGUAACUGACGCUGAGGCUCGAAAGCGUGGGGAGCAAACA